rnacentral:rRNA from 1 species
CCAUCAUUCAGUUUGGGCACUUUAAUGAGACUGCCGGUGACAAACCGGAGGAAGGUGGGGAUGACGUCAAGUCCUCAUGGCCCUUAUGGGUAGGGCUUCACACGUAAUACAAUGGUCGGUACAGAGGGUUGCCAACCCGCGAGGGGGAGCCCAAAUCCCAGAAAACCGAUCGUAGUCCGGAUUGCAGUCUGCAACUCGACUGCAUGAAGUCGGAAUCGCUAGUAAUCGCGGAUCAGCAUGUCGCGGUCGAAUACGUUCCCGGGCCUU